CUUCUCUGGAAUAAAUAUUUAUUUUAUUGAUGAGGUACGUAGGUGCACCAAAUGGUUCAAAAACGUUAUUCAGGAAGAACAAUAUCAAUUGAAUAAUUCUAUGUUAGUUGAUUUUCUAAAUUCAACUAAUUGUUGGAAAGUGAUGUAUUUUACCCGACAGCAGUCACUCUUUGUAACUUUCAAUAGCAGUGCAGACAAACAC
rnacentral:lncRNA from 1 species